rnacentral:rRNA from 1 species
UACAGGGGGUGCAAACGUUGCUCGGAAUCAUUGGGCGUAAAGCGCACGUAGGCGGUUCGUUAUGUCGGAUGUGAAAGCCCUUGGCUUAACCGAGGAAGUGCAUCCGAAACUGGCGAGCUAGAGUACGAAAGAGGAUCGCGGAAUUCCCGGUGUAGAGGUGAAAUUCGUAGAUAUCGGGAGGAACACCUGUGGCGAAAGCGGCUCACUGGACCAUAACUGACGCUGAUGCACGAAAGCUAGGGGAGCAAACAGG